rnacentral:rRNA from 1 species
UUAAUUGAAGAGUUUGAUCAUGGCUCAGAUUGAACGCUGGCGGCAGGCCUAACACAUGCAAGUCGAGCGGUAACAGAAAGAAAGCUUGCUUUCUUUGCUGACGAGCGGCGGACGGGUGAGUAAUGCCUGGGAAUAUACCCUGAUGUGGGGGAUAACUAUUGGAAACGAUAGCUAAUACCGCAUAAUCUCUUCGGAGCAAAGAGG